AUAGUUUAUCGUUGCGGUACAGGGCAUUGAGUAUCGAAACAAAUAAUACCAGCAUUAUAUAUACACAGUAGGUCUGCGUGGCAACUAAACACAUCAUUGCAACAACAAAACAGAUAUUUGCCAUUAGAAUAAUCGUCGGAUCAAUUAACCCAGUCAGACAUACGGAGAGAAAUGCCAGACGCGAAAAAGAAGGAGUCGAGCCCAUACAGGUUUUUCUCUCGCAGAUUCGACGAGGAAGUUCAGGGUCGACGACACAAACUCAUACCUCGACCAGUCUCCAGCGCCUCGUCUUUUCAAACUUGUUAUGUAUGGAGAGAGACUAUAUGGAGAUUUUGUAUCGGUAGCCAGAGACGCCUCUGCGUAUACGCGCGAUUUAUAUAGAUCUGUGCUGAUGAGCUUCGAUUCCGACUCGUUCAGCUCGUUGACUCGUUGUUUUGCUCGCGUUGUUGGAGAUGGAAACUUUUUUAUCGAGUGUCUGGAUAUUGUGUUUUUUCCAUGAUUUUCGGCACUUGAGGCAAGCGAACGUCGUUGCAAUGUUACGCAAUCUUUUGAUACAGUUUUUUAACAAAAAUUUUACAUACUAAUAGGUGUGUAUGACAAUGAAAGAUAAUAGCACAAUAUCGCAAAUCCAACAGUGAAAAAAUUCGAAAAAAUCCGAUAAAGAUUAUUGUUAUUGCACCAAAAGUGUUACAAUGCUCGAUAACGUAAACAGCAGUUUCUCUAUUGUUUGAUAACAUGACACGGUUCGGUUAAUACGAUUUAGAACUUAUUCUGCAAUUUCAUCCAUGCUAAUUAGACAUUCGUACGACGAGUAACUGAUUUUAAAUGAGACGGUGUCAAUGAAAAGAUAGUAUAAAUUCAGUCGUUUUUUUUUUAAUUUAUCUUUUGCUAAUUACUUGAUAAAUUACAAUUUUUUACAUUAACGUAUUAUGCCAUAAUUAUAUCUCAAACAAGAAGAAUUAUCAAUUCCUGAUAAUGAGAUUGAUUAUUUCAUGCUGCACGACUUCAUUUAGUCGUAAUAUAAAUUUUGGAAAGAAUCAUCAGGAAUUUGAUAAACAAAUUUUUAGACAUGUAUCAUAAAUGCCAGUACAAAACUUUAUUAAUAAAAUUAACUGUCUUGUAGAAGAGUAGUGGUACAUAAUAAUUUACAGUGCGCAUUUAAGAACUGAUGAAACGGCGUUACGUAUAUGCUAAGUUCUUUAAGGAUUCGCAAAGAAAGUUUGAAUUAAACUAGUUUAUUUGCUGCUAUUAGUAUUAUGUGUAUAUUAUCUCGAGAUUCUGGUGAACAUAAAACAUUUUAAUCAUUUGAAAGGAAUAUUUUUGUAUAAUACUGACUUAUAACAUUAUAGACAUUAUCAAAACUUGAGCUUAUCCAAGUGCAUAACAGCGGUCUUAAUCUCAUCAACACUCUAUUGCAUUGAUAUCAACUUUGCUUUUACUUUACUUACAAUUAUCUACAUACAAGAAUGUUUUUAAUUACUAAAAAC